GAGAUAGAGAAUUCCCUUUGGGGACAAAGUGACAGGUGGUGCAUGGUUGUCGUCAGCUCGUGUCGUGAGAUGUUGGGUUAAGUCCCGCAACGAGCGCAACCCUUAUGAUUAGUUGCCAGCAUUCAGUUGGGCACUCUAAUCAGACUGCCGGUGACAAACCGGAGGAAGGUGGGGAUGACGUCAAAUCAUCAUGCCCCUUAUGACUUGGGCUACACACGUGCUACAAUGGACGGUACAACGAGCAGCGAAC
rnacentral:rRNA from 1 species